AUUACAGUCGGUUUCACAAAACUUUUGCCAAAAUGUUCCAAACUUCGUUCCAAAGUUCGCAAAGUUCGUUUCGAAGUUCACAAGUUCAACAGUGAAAUUCACAAGCCGGUUUGUAAACAAGACCUCUGAUUGGUCCAUGAAUUGAAAGAAGCCAAUCAAAUGCUUAGUUUACAAACCAGUUUGUGCACUUAUGAACUUGGAAACUUCAAACAUUGGAACUUCGAAAUGAAUUUGCAAACUUUGAAACGAAGUUCGGGAUAUUUUGGCAAAAGUUACGUGAAAUCGACUGUAAUACCAGACACAGUCUACACUUUGAAAUGUCGAAGACAGUGGGAGAUUUAUUUUUUAUAUUUUAUAUUUAUAUAAUUUAUAUAUCAAUAGUUCGU
rnacentral:lncRNA from 1 species